GAUAUUGCACAAUGGGGGAAACCCUGAUGCAGCGACGCCGCGUGAGCGAAGAAGGCCNNNGGGUCNUCAAGCUCUGUUUCGAGNGACNAUAAUGACGGUACCUCGGGAGGAAGCCCCGGCUAACUACGUGCCAGCAGCCGCGGUAAUACGUAGGGGGCAAGCGUUAUCCGGAAUCACUGGGCGUAAAGGGUGCGUAGGCGGCCAAUAAAGUCAGAGGUGAAAGGCUACGGCUCAACCGUAGUAAGCCUUUGAAACUUAUUGGCUUGAGUGCAGGAGAGGAGAGUGGAAUUCCUAGUGUAGCGGUGAGAUGCGUAGAUAUUAGGAGGAACACCAGUGGCGAAGGCGACUCUCUGGACUGUAACUGACGCUGAGGCACGAAAGCGUGGGGAGCGAAC
rnacentral:rRNA from 1 species